CCCUUAGACGUUCUGGGCCGCACGCGCGCUACACUGACCAGUGCAACAAGCAUCCGUCCUUGGCCGACAGGCCCGGGCAAUCUUUGAACGCUGGUCGUGAUGGGGAUAGACUUUUGCAAUUUUUGGUCUUCAGCGAGGAAUUCCUAGUAAACGCAAGUCAUCAACUUGCAUUGAUUACGUCCCUGCCCUUUGUACACACCGCCCGUCGCACCUACCGAUUGAAUGGUCCGGUGAAAUCUCGGGACGGCGGCUUGGUCGCUUGCGUCCGACUGCUGAAACUUGAUUAAACCAUAUCAUUUAGAGGAAGGUGAAGUCGUAACA
rnacentral:rRNA from 1 species